rnacentral:tRNA from 1 species
AGCCCCGUAGUGAGUGACACGUCAAAUUGCAAAUUUGAAACAGCCCCAUAUUUUGGUGCCGGGGCUU